rfam:Capsicum annuum cultivar Zunla-1 unplaced genomic scaffold scaffold454, whole genome shotgun sequence
CAUCAAUUAGUGGGUUUAGACUCUAAAAAACUCAUAAUUUUACUAAUGUUUAUCAGCUUCUUCUCUUGAAUAUCAACGGGAUAAAGUUAAAUCACGACACUAAAUAU